rnacentral:rRNA from 1 species
UACAGAGGGGGCAAGCGUUGUUCGGAAUUACUGGGCGUAAAGGGCGCGUAGGCGGCCUUCUAAGUCGAACGUGAAAUCCCCGGGCUCAACCCGGGAACUGCGUCCGAUACUGGAAGGCUUGAAUCCGGGAGAGGGAUGUGGAAUUCCAGGUGUAGCGGUGAAAUUCGUAGAUAUCAAGUGGAACACCGGUGGCGAAGGCGGCCUUCUGGACAGUGACUGACGCUGAGACGCGAAAGCGUGGGGAGCAAACAGG